rnacentral:rRNA from 1 species
UACGUAGGGUGCAAGCGUUGUCCGGAAUUAUUGGGCGUAAAGAGCUUGUAGGCGGUUUGUCGCGUCUGCUGUGAAAUUUCGGGGCUCAACCCCGAACUUGCAGUGGGUACGGGCAGGCUAGAGUGUGGUAGGGGAGACUGGAAUUCCUGGUGUAGCGGUGAAAUGCGCAGAUAUCAGGAGGAACACCGGUGGCGAAGGCGGAUCUCUGGGCCGUAACUGACGCUGAGGAGCGAAAGCAUGGGGAGCGAACAGG